rnacentral:rRNA from 1 species
CAAGUCGAGCGGUAACAGGUGUAGCAAUACAUGCUGACGAGCGGCGGACGGGUGAGUAACGCUUGGGAAUCUGCCUGUUAGUGGGGGACAACCCGGGGAAACUCGGGCUAAUACCGCAUACGCACUACGGUGGAAAGCCGGGGACCGCAAGGCCUGGCGCUAACAGAUGAGCCCAAGUCGGAUUAGCUAGUUGGUGAGGUAAAGGCUCACCAAGGCGACGAUCCGUAACUGGUCUGAGAGGACGACCAGUCACACCGGAACUGAGACACGGUCCGGACUCCUACGGGAGGCAGCAGUGGGGAAUAUUGGACAAUGGGCGAAAGCCUGAUCCAGCGACGCCGCGUGGGUGAAGAAGGCCUGCGGGUUGUAAAGCCCUUUCGGUGGGGAAGAAAAGCCUCGACCUAACACGUCGGGGUAUUGACGUAACCCAUUAAAGAAGCACCGGCUAACUCUGUGCCAGCAGCCGCGGUAAUACAGAGGGUGCGAGCGUUAAUCGGAAUUACUGGGCGUAAAGCGCGCGUAGGCGGUUUUGUAAGUCGGGUGUGAAAUCCCCAGGCUCAACCUGGGAACUGCAUUCNAGACUGCAUANCUAGAGUAUGGGAGAGGGAAGUGGAAUUUCAGGUGUAGCGGUGAAAUGCGUAGAUAUCUGAAGGAACAUCAGUGGCGAAAGCGACUUCCUGGACCAAUACUGACGCUCAUGUGCGAAAGCGUGGGGAGCAAACAGGAUUAGAUACCCUGGUAGUCCACGCCAUAAACGAUGAGAACUGGAUGUCGGGAGGGUCUGCCUUCCGGUGUCUUA